rnacentral:rRNA from 1 species
CCUACGGGAGGCAGCAGUGAGGAAUAUUGGUCAAUGGACGAGAGUCUGAACCAGCCAAGUAGCGUGCAGGAUGACUGCCCUAUGGGUUGUAAACUUCUUUUAUAAAGGAAUAAAACGACGCACGUGUGCCUUUUUGCAUGUACUUUAUGAAUAAGGAUCGGCUAACUCCGUGCCAGCCGCCGCGGUAAUCCGGAGGAUCCGAGCGUUAGCCGGAUUUAUUUGGUUUAAAGGGAGCGUAGAUGGGUUGUUAAGGCAGUUGUGAAAUGUUGCGGCUCAACCGUAAAAUUGCAAUUGAAACUGGCAGGCGUGAGUACAGGUGAGGGAGGCGGAAUUCGUGGUGGAGCGGUGAAAUGCUUAGAUAUGACGAAGAACCCCGAUUGCGAAGGCAGCUUACUAAACUGUGACUGACAUUGAUGCUCGAAAGUGUGGGUAUCAAACAGGAUUAGAUACCCCUGUAGUC